rnacentral:rRNA from 1 species
GACGAACGCUGGCGGCGUGCCUAACACAUGCAAGUCGAACGGGCAUUGAGAGCUUGCUUUCAAUGCUUAGUGGCGAACGGGUGAGUAACGCGUGAGAAACCUGCCUCUCAGUGGGGGACAACAGUUGGAAACGACUGCUAAUACCGCAUAAUGUAUCCGGAAGGCAUCUUCUGGAUACCAAAGCUUUAUGUGCUGAGAGAUGGUCUCGCGUCUGAUUAGCUAGAUGGCGGGGUAACGGCCCACCAUGGCGACGAUCAGUAGCCGGUCUGAGAGGAUGAACGGCCACAUUGGGACUGAGAUACGGCCCAGACUCCUACGGGAGGCAGCAGUGGGGAAGUAUUGGGCGAAUGGGGGAAACCCGUAGACCCACGCAACGCCGCGUGAAGGAAGAAGGCUUCGGUUGUAAAC